rnacentral:rRNA from 1 species
GACGAACGCUGGCGGCGUGCUUAACACAUGCAAGUCGAACGGAAAGGCCCUGCUUUUGUGGGGUGCUCGAGUGGCGAACGGGUGAGUAACACGUGAGUAACCUGCCCUUUACUUUGGGAUAACUUCAGGAAACUGGGGCUAAUAUCGGAUAGGAGAUCCUGCUGCAUGGUGGGGGGUGGAAAGUUUCGGCGGUUGGGGGUGGACUGGCGGCUUAUCAGCUUGUUGGUGGGGUAGGGGCUUACCCAGGCUUUGACGGGUAGCCUGCCUGGCAGGGUGACCGGCCACAUUGGGACUGAGAUACGGCCCAGACUCCUACGGGAGGCAGCAGUGGGGAGUAUUGCACAAUGGGCGGAAGCGUGAUGCAGCAACGCCGCGUGCGGGAUGACGGCCUUCGGGUUGUAAACCGCUUUCGCCUGUGACGAAGCGUGAGUGACGGUAAUGGGUAAAGAAGCACCGGCUAACUACGUG